AUGGCCGACGCCCAGCCGAAUUCCGGCGGCCUGGCCGUCGACCAGCCCGGAAAGGUGAAGAAGAAGGCGGCCAAGGCGCCAAGGAAGCCACGGUCGGAGUGCACGCCGGAGGAGAUCGCCAGGUUGGACGCGGAAGCGGCGAAGAAGAGGAGCCGGAGAGCGGCCGUCAAGGGCAAUGCCGCCGCGGCCAAGUUCGCCGCCGAGCGCGAUGCGAUUGAGGCCGCGCUGCGCAAGGCCGCGGCCGACGAGAAGGAGGACAUCGUCAACAAAGCGCACGCCCUCCUCAUGCUUAGCAUGGGCCGUCCGGCUGGUUUCACUACAGCGGCUGCCAGUCGCCGACGUCGCGGACGACGCCCAUGUCGUCCGGCUUUCUUCCGCCAAGGCACGACGGUCACACCCGUUUCUCGGGGUCGCCGGACGUUGGCUUGUUCGCGCCGCCCACACCGCGCCCCGCGGCCGUCAUCGACCUCAACGUCACGCUUGGGUCCAGCGGCGGCGGCCGGCCGUCCGUCAAGAUGCAAAGCAAGCAAGCACGGGUACCGUUCACGGGCACCAUGCCCCUCCCCCCGCGUGUUGUUUGACGGAAUGCCAACAGCAACGGCACCGGUCGACGACCCCUUCUGCAACCAGUACAUGGAGAACGUGAUCUUCGAGGCUGGGCACGGACGUGCCUACGACCCUGAGGAGACCCAAAGUCAGGAUGGCCGCGCCCAGUACGUCCCCGAUGAAGAGGCCGACGACCGUGCAGACUACGACCAUGGUGACUCGUGGCAUGAAGACGAUGACAUCUAUGUCGAAGGUGAUGGUGAUGAAGAAGAAGAAGAAGGCAAUGACGUUGAUAUUAGUGGCGCGCCAUUGUUCAUCGACGGGCUAACCCAAAGAGCGGAAGCACAAAAGAAGAGGAAGAGCAUUCGCACGGGUUCAUACACACAAGAUGAGGACAAGUUGAUUUGCCAAGCUUGGAUGGAGAUUAGCCAAGAUCCGAGGACCGGCGCGAAACAAAAGGGCAUUGUUUUUUGGACGAGAGUUCACAAAACAUUCCAUAAAAGAAAGAUGUUCGAGCCCUACCAAAUUACAAGCAACCGUGGCAUCGGCUCGAUUCAAAAGAGAUGGUUGUUCAUCCAACAAGAGUGCAAUAAGUACCAAGCCGCAUUUGAGAGCGUUGAAGCACGGCCCGUGAGUGGUCUCGGCGUUGGGGACACGGCAUGUCAAUCUUUGAAGGCAUUCAAGGCCCGGCACAAUGACAAGCCAUUCACUCUUACGCAUUGUUGGACGAUCAUCAACAAUUGCCCUAAGUUCAAGGACCAAUACCGUGAACUACAAAGGAAGAGAGGACUGAAGACGGCCAAGUUCGCCGGAGGUGGAGAUGGCGAGGCGUUGAAGAGGCCGAGGGGCAAGACCAACUCCAAGGUUGAUGACAUACGUGAUGCCUCAUCCAUGGCAUUGCAUGACACUUUGCAUGGCAUGAUGUCUCAAAAGGAUGUGAGGGACGAGAAGAAGCGGCAAAGCAAGGACGAGCAAAUGAAGCAAUACCUAGACCUUCAAAGAAAGAAGCUUGAGAUGGAGGAGGCGGCCAAGAAGAGGAAGAUCGACAUGGAGGAGGCGGCCCGGCAAAGGCAACUCGACAUGGAAGAGGCCGCCCGGCAAAGGCAGCUCGACAUCGAGGCCGACAACAUCAAGGCCAGGCAGAGGCAGCUCGACAUCGAGGCCACCAAUGCCGCCAACAAAGCGAAGGAGGUGGCCCUUGCGAUCAUGAGCGUGGACUUGUCGAAGAUGAGCGACAAGACGAGGGCCUGGUUCGAGGCCAGGCAGAAGGAGAUGCUCGACGCCGAAGGCCUGAACUAG
rnacentral:rRNA from 1 species